GCUGGGGGACAAUGGCAGUAAGUGGAAGGGACGCGCUCCGAGGGCUGCGGGGGGCUCAGCCUUACCUGCCAUCCCGCUCCGAUCUCCGGACCCCACUCCGCCGCACCCGCCCCGGCAGCUGCUGCUCCGGACUAAAGUUGAUCUCCGGAAGGAUGUGGUUCACCAGCAACUUCUCUUCUGAAAUACGACUGCUUUCAGAUCCCCAGAGAUGAAUGGGGUUGUAUGGGGGUACCCGGUGGGGCUUCUCUUGGGGCUGGUGGAGGCGCUUCCUCUGGUCCCCACUGUGUUAUUUUCAGAGCCGACCACAACCCCCUCCGAGACAAGUUUUGAGACUCACUCCCAACAUUUUCCUCUGUACAUCACACAGCUUCGCCGCUUCUGCUGUUACACACCCAUUGAGCAAACACCAGGCACACGCACACGCAAGGCUUCUGGCAAAUACCACCUCCUCUCACAUGGCAUCUGUCCCACCUGCUGACACCCGGGUGUUUGAAUUCUCUGCUGACUCACUCAUUCCCCCUGCUAGGGGGUCCCCCUCCCUCGCACCGCCCCCUCCCUCUGGAUGCAGGACCACCAGCCAGGUCCCCAGGCAGGACAUGGCUCCAUCUCCAGCCCUUACCUCCAGCCAGAGGCGUCCAGUUGCAAAUGAGUGAUCAAAAACAAGUAGGAGCAAGGCUGCCUGCAGGGAAGGGUUCUGACUCAAGCCCUGUCAAUUUGUGCCUGCUAGUUAUUCUCUUGCAAACAUCCCAGGUCUCUCUCUCUCUCUCUCUCUCUCUCUCUCUAGAGAAAAGAUUUCCUGAGCAGGAUAUUAUGUGGUGAUAGAAGAUAAGAUCUUCUCCCCUUACAAUAAAAGCCCCAAACAGCUUUGGUUUUUCUCAUUCACCCAGACAGAAGCAAACUUAAGGAAGGCUCUCCUCCACCCGCCCUGACCCCACCGGCAACGGCUGCGAUGCUUUGUGACUCAGAGCACACAGAAAUCAGACAGAGCGCUUCCCACAUCAAGCAUUAUCUGUCGCAUCGAUUCUCAGAGGUGGGCAGGAGCCCCGUGAGCUGCAGACCACCCCCAAAAGCCAACAGAGAGCUCCUGAGAGGAGGGAGAUGUCCCAUCCCAUGCUUUGGCCAUGGAACGGGGGCACAGCAGUGAGGAUCUCGCCCUUUGGAGGACAGCUGUGCCAGACAGCCCACUUUCAAUCACAAAAUCAGAAUAUCCCAAAUCAGAAGGAACCCAUAGGGAUCAUCGAAUCCAACAGGACAACCCAAAAACCAGACCAGUUUGCCCCAGUGUCACCACACCUCACAGCCAGGUGUCACGUUUCCACCUUGGCUCUGUCGGUAGUGCCAACUUCUGUGCUGAUGCGGUUGACUUCACGCCAAGAAUGCCACUGUGCACUCUGUUGUCUGGCUGGGUUGGUGGUUUCGUGUUUUGUUUUCUUUGGUUUUUUUUCUUUUUUUUUUUUUUCUUUUUUUUCAAAUCCUGACCAAAAUAGUUGCACGGUAAGACUUUCCAAACACCGCCGGCUCACACAGGAAACCUAUGACAGGCCAGCGAAUGGUGGGUGAGCAUGCAGUGUUUCCACUGAGAGAGGAAGGGCUUAGCACAUAUGGCCCACAACACAGUGGGUCUUCUGUGAGGUCUACAAACCUGCCCAGGAUCCUCCUACCUUACACGAGCCUUACAUCGCAAUGCCUUCAAUAAAACACUCCUUGUUUUCAUAGGAUCAUAAAACCAUAGAAUGGCUUGGGUUGGAGGGAACCUUAAAGAUCACCAAGUUCCAACCCCCUGCCACAGACAGGGUUGCCAACAACUAGACCUGGCCCAUCAAACCGUGUUAUUUUUCUUAUAGCCCAGGGAUUUGUGAAGAUUUACACCUUCCAAUGAUUUUUCAGGAGGGAGGUAAUGCUGAAGUCCCUGCUGGUCUCCAUGGUCAAGUUCAGAGAGCUUGAAACCACCCCUCCUGAACCAUCCCUCCCCAUAUUGGCUGCCCAACACCACUCUGUGUCACAAAGCCUCUCAGCAGUUUUGUUCCUCUGUGGAACAAAUGCUCAGAAGAUGUCGUGAAACAGAAUUCUCGACUCCAGCACGGUCUGAUCACUGCCUCACACCAGCUUAACUAACAGACACCAAAAAUAAAAAAAACACUUUUAUUUUUCCUA